AACGGGAGGGGCGAGCGUUUAUCAUGAUUAUUGGGCGUAAAGGGUACGCAGGCGGUCUACAGCAGUUUAUCUGGAAAACCCAGGGCUUAACCCCGGCAAAAGAUUUAUACGGGUAGACUAGAGUCAUAAAAGGAUAGUAGUACUUUUAAAGUAGAGAUGAAAAACGUCGAUAUUAAAAAGACUCCCGAAGGCGAAGGCAACUAUCUAUUAAUGAACUGACGCUGAGGUACGAAGGCAUAGGUAUCAAAUCGG
rnacentral:rRNA from 1 species